GUAAAUGCAGAGACAUGUCAGUCGCUUCGCUUGACAGACAGAUGAAGUGUGCGAAAGGGAAGCCAUGACGUAUAUGAACAAGCCAUAAGUGCGAAAGAGGCAGACUACAUAUGAGAAAACGUAACCAAUUUUGAGUUCGAAGGCGGCCGAGGCGGCCAAAAUCAUAUUGCCGUAUUUUUUAACGUGAAAAAUAUAAGAGAAUCAAAAAGAAAAAUAUAUAUUAAGUAAUUUAGUGACGAUGGUGUCAUGUUGUGUGCCGGGUUGUAGUGUUUCAGGGCCAAAAAACCCAGGAAAAUACUCAUUUCACAGGUAAUUAUGAUAUUCCUAGCGAAAUUUUCGUAACGAUAUUUUAUCAAAUGAACAGCAUAAAAAGUGUAAAAAACCAAUUUAUACAGUUCAUUAUAAGUUUUUCUUCAAUUGUGUGUUAAUAUUUCAUCAUAUUAGUCAAUAUUUUAGAAUAUUUUGUGUAAAAACCUAAACUGUUACUUUACGCUAGGGCUUGACAAAAUGUUCAUAUGACUGUAUCGAUAACUUGUCGGUAUAUAAGUAGGUGCACAUGUUUAGCGAUAAAUUUAAACUUCACUUUCCAACACAGUACUUACAUUUUAAACACUUUUCCACGGCUUUGCCGCCAACACAAGGAAACACAAGACAGCGUAUACUUGUACACAGCGUAUACACACCCAACCCAACUUGUCAGCAGGAAAAGGCGCGAAAUUCAAAUUUUCUUUGGUAAGUCAACUCUUUGCGAACACAUUUUCAAACAACUUCAACUUUAUCAUUUUCAACUUUUUCAAACACAUUUGAAAAAGUAGUCGAUAAAGCAGUUAAACAUCGAUAGAUUAUUAAUAUGUUGUAACAUGACAUCACUAUUUUUGUUCGCACAUAGACAAUUUACGCACA